rnacentral:rRNA from 1 species
AACGAACGCUGGCGGCAUGCCUAACACAUGCAAGUCGAACGAGACCUUCGGUUCUAGUGGCUCACGGGUGCGUAACGCGUGGGAACCUGCCCUUAUGUUCUGAAUAACUCCCCGAAAGGGGUGCUAAUACCGGGUAAUAUCUUCGGACCAAAGAUUUAGCGCCUUGGGAUGGGCCCGCGUUGGAUUAGCUAGUUGGUAGGGUAAAAGCCUACCAAGGCGACGAGCCAUAGCUGGUCUGAGAGGAUGAUCAGCCACACUGGGACUGAGACACGGCCCAGACUCCUACGGGAGGCAGCAGUGGGGAAUAUUGGAGAAUGGGCGAAAGCCUGAUCCAGCAAUGCCGCGUGAGUGAUGAAGGCCUUAGGGUUGUAAAGCUCUUUUACCCGGGAUGAUAAUGACAGUACCGGGAGAAUAAGCUCCGGCUAACUCCGUG